rnacentral:rRNA from 1 species
CCCUUAGAUGUCCGGGGCCGCACGCGCGCUACACUGAAGGAAUCAGCGUGGCUCUGUCCCUGGUCCGAAAGGAUUGGGAAACCCGUUGAAUCUCCUUCGUGAUAGGGAUUGGGGCUUGGAACUGUUCCCCAUGAACGAGGAAUUCCCAGUAAGCGCGAGUCAUAAGCUCGCGUUGAUUACGUCCCUGCCCUUUGUACACACCGCCCGUCGCUACUACCGAUUGAACGGUCCGGUGAAGCGUUCGGACCGUGGCCUUUGGACGGUUCGCCGUCUGUUGGCUGCGGGAAGUUCGUUAAACCUUAUCAUUUAGAGGAAGGAGAAGUCGUAACA